GUAGAUAUAGUUUAACAAAAACAUUAGAUUGUGAAUCUAAAAAUAGGGUAUCAUACCCCUUAUCCACC
rnacentral:tRNA from 1 species